UGGCCUAUGGUGUAAUGGUAACACAGCAGAUUCUGGUUCUGUUUUUCAGGGUUCGAGUCCUUGUAGGCCAAC
rnacentral:tRNA from 1 species